rnacentral:rRNA from 1 species
GACAGAGGGUGCAAACGUUGUUCGGAAUUACUGGGCGUAAAGCGUGUGUAGGCGGCUUUGCAAGUCGGAUGUGAAAGCCCCGGGCUCAACCCGGGAAGUGCACUCGAUACUGCGAAGCUUGAGUGUCGGAGAGGUUGGUGGAAUUCUCGGUGUAGAGGUGAAAUUCGUAGAUAUCCGGAGGAACACCGGUGGCGAAGGCGGCUUCCUGGACCGACACUGACGCUGAGGCGCGAAAGCUAGGGGAGCAAACGGG